rnacentral:rRNA from 1 species
CUCCUCCUACGGGGGGCAGCAGUCGGGAAUAUUGCGCAAUGGAGGAAACUCUGACGCAGUGACGCCGCGUGCAGGAAGAAGGUUUUCGGAUUGUAAACUGCUUUAGACAGGGAAGAAAAAAGGCAGUACCUGUAGAAUAAGCUCCGGCUAACUACGUGCCAGCAGCCGCGGUAAUACGUAGGGGGCAAGCGUUAUCCGGAUUUACUGGGUGUAAAGGGAGCGUAGACGGUGCAGCAAGUCUGAUGUGAAAGGUCGGGGCCCAACCCCGGGACUGCAUUGGAAACUGUUGAACUGGAGUACAGGAG